UGCGGGCCAAUGGAAGUCAAAUACAAAUCUUUCCAGCUGUGAUUCCUAAUGACCAGAGAACAAUGCAUGUGUAAAAGCAGCAGGGGGAAAAAAAAGACAGUAACAGACAAAAAGAGGAGCUUAGCGGCACGAUUUUUCAUGGUGACAAAGAGAUGAGGAUGAGUAUCUUCCUUGGGGACCUGCAUCCUCUGGCUUGCAAACCCCACAGCUCUCUUACGUGGGACUGAACUUGUGGUAAAGGGAGGCGUCAUUUCAAGUGCUGCUUCCUUUCUCAGAGCCUCCGUCAGUCUUUGUGAAACAAGAUUAACAACAUGCGUGUUUAAAAUACAGUAGCAGGUGCAGCAGGAGGGAUGUGGGGUGCAGGAGACCCCCAAAACCCACUUAUGGGCUGCCUAGGCCAAACAAGUGGGACAGCACCAUCCGAGCAGCAAACAGCGACGUCCAUUGCCCCAGGCCUGCUGCGGGCACAGCUGUGCAGGGUCGGCUCUCCACCGCCACCAUCUCGCUCAUCUACUCCCAUCCCAUCUAGCAGCGCGUCAUGUUGUGAAACGCAAUGUCAGUUCAGCACAAGUUGAAGCCCUUUCUCAAGGCGAGGGAACUCAAGUGCACUCAGGACCCAAAGCAGAGCCCAGGCACUUGUUGCCGCGGCCUGGGCAUCCCAGACGAUCCCCUAAGCUUAGCUCUGUUCUCCAUAACCUCAGAGUGCACUCUUCAAGCUCAGCCACAGCAAGCAGUUCCCACAUCUCAUGGCACAGGCAUACUUGCUCGAAACCCAGAAGAAGGUGGAAGGUACUGGGUUCUCCUGCAGAAAACGUGACUUGGCUCUAGCUUUGUUUUCCAGGGUGAGAAAGGCACAACAGAUAGAACAUUGCCAGAAGAAACACAGCUUCAGACAGCCUUGCUGCUGCAGCGGCAGAACGGGAGCCAUACCUGAACUGCUGGAGAGCCUUGCAGAACUCCACAGCCAUGGGAGGGCAACUCUUGAGCUAGCUGGAUGCACUGCUCCAAUGCUGAAAGUCUUUCUAACUCUGACUGAAGGCACAUAUGUUUUCUUUUCACAGGUUCACAGGUAAGACGUUUUGUAGGCUCCGAAAAGAGGCACAGCUUGUUGAAAAUCAGACUUGCUCUGUCUCAGUACUUCACAAGACCACACUGGUGUGACUAACAUUGCGGUACUCUAAAUCUGAUUCAACACACCACUCUGCAAAGUUGGUUUUGACCAAAUGUUUGAGACAAGCUGGAAUGGGGCAACCAAAUCAGGGAUUAGUUUCACAGCAAGAUAAACGACAGCCCAGUUUUCCACAUCUCAGAGGCUGCCCUUUCCAAACCACAACAUAUUGUGAACCAGUUCACAUGUCUCCAGGGGCAGGCUGCUUGCUUCUUCAGCAACAGACUGCAAAGAGCCAUUGCACGCCCAGGACAGAGGGGCUUCUG